rnacentral:piRNA from 1 species
UGAGAGCUGCAGAUGAUCAGAAUGGUGGGU